rnacentral:rRNA from 1 species
UACGAAGGGGGCUAGCGUUGCUCGGAAUCACUGGGCGUAAAGCGCACGUAGGCGGAUUGUUAAGUCGGAUGUGAAAUCCCUCGGCUCAACUGAGGAAGUGCAUCCGAAACUGGCAAGCUUGAGUACGAAAGAGGGUCGCGGAAUUCCCGGUGUAGAGGUGAAAUUCGUAGAUAUCGGGAGGAACACCGGUGGCGAAGGCGGCGACCUGGGUCGAUACUGACGCUGAGGUGCGAAAGCGUGGGGAGCAAACAGG